rnacentral:misc_RNA from 1 species
UAGCUGCACUAUGGAGAAACUUGCAGCCAGGGAUAUUGGGCAAUUCGACAUGGAGAUAUGCUUCGGUUAUGGAUAGUCUUGUGUGUGAUUUCCCGAUGGUAAAAACAUGACUCUGGAAUAGAAUUUUGGAUUAUUUUAAAUCGGAACAUAAUUUUUGCUCCUAGACGGGUUUUAUAUUUUAAAGUGUUUUAAAACAGAAAUAAGACUUACCAGAGUUGCAUUUAAGCUUUUGCAUGAAUUUUGUGCAAAAAAACUCUAUUUCUGCAUUUAUAUGUCUUUUUCGAUGAUUUUGCAAUAAUAGGUGCUUCCUUUUUUAUAUGGAGAAAAAUACUGACCAGAACACAAUUAUUACUAGUCUACUUGAAUAAGGUAUAUUCUUUUUAUUAGUAUAAUGUAGUGGUCAUGUUAGUUAAGUAAUUGCAUUUACAAGAAGUGCUGCCUUAUGUAACUUCUAUAAACAAUUAAAAGGAAUAAUUGUGCCAUUAUAAAAAGUGGAUGUGAAAAUUUAGAAGAUACAAGUGGUUGCCAUGUUCCCGACAUCAUUGGAACGCUACAGUUAUAACAUACAUCAUGACAGUUUUGCCAAGAUGGCGAGCUACACAGACCGACAUUUCAUUGCAUGUUUGCAGAAACCGCCGCAUUCUAGGACUGAUGUGGACUUGGAUGUUAUAUAUUCUUAUUUACAUGGGAUGGAAGCUUUAUCGUCAUUACGGGAACCAGCAUUACGAGCAUUGUGUAGGACAGUUCGGUACGAGUACCAUGAUGCCAAUGAUAUACUGUACUGUCAACGGGAGCUGAGUACAUGUUGGUACAUAUUGUUGUCUGGUUCAGUGUUUAUAGAAGGUUCGAUGUUCCUCCCUCGGAGCAGUUUUGGAAAAAGAACACCAGGAUGUGCAAGACGUGCCAGCGAAUGUUUGAUCCUCGAGCCUUCAGAAAUGAUCGUGAUUGACUAUCCAGAUGUUCAAGUCAUGAAACCAGGGACCCGUAUGGGCCCAUGCAACACAAUGAACCUAGAUAGGCUCCCACAGUAUGAUCCUCAGGACGAUAUACGUAUGAGACGCAUGAACUCUGAUACAUCCGGAUUCUCUGAACAGACAAUUCCUGAUAUUCAGAUUGGUUACAAUGGGCGAGAUACAUCUUACGGAUAUAAACGAUGUUCGAGAGCUAGCGACACAUCAAGUGCAUACUCGGGCUCUGAUAUGAUGCAGUCAUCAAUUGACGACACAGAAAAUGUGGACUGUGACCUUCCAUCGAACCUGAUAGAGAGUACAGUGGAUAAUGACUCUGAAGAUGAGGAAGGUUUUGGUGAAUCAACAGAGUCGUUACCGGUACGUGAUGCCGUGCGGGAAUGUUUGGAGAAAGAUCCGGCGGACAGAAAAGAUGAUGAUAUAGAAAUACUGCUUGACUUCAUGCAGCAUUUUAGGGCAUUUGCAAACAUGACACUGGCAACACGGCGGGCCCUGUGUGCUGUGAUGGUGUUUGCAGUCGUAGAGAAGGCAGGAACUAUAGUGAUGAAGGAUGGAGAGGAGCUGGACUCCUGGUCUGUCAUCCUGAAUGGUACCGUUGCUGUAGAAACUGUUGAGUCUGAGGUUAAAUAUCUUCAGUUAGGGGACAGUCUUGAAACCAGUUUUGCAAAUUUGAAGGGGCAGGGCAAUCAAAUUGGUUUUGGUAUCACCCCUACAAUGGAGAAGCUGUAUCAUCAAGGUCAGAUGCACACGAUCACUGACGACUGUCAGUUUGUCUGUAUAGCUCAGUCAGAUUAUUACAGAAUUCUUCAUCAGGGAGAAGAAAAUACACGACGACAUGAAGAAGAUGGUAAAGUUGUCAUGGUUACAGAACACAGAGUUUUUGAUGGUGGAAACAGAAAAGGCCAUAUUGUUAUACGGGGAACGCCAGAAAGACUGAUGUUACAUUUAGUUGAGGAUCACAGUGUUGUUGAUCCUACCUAUGUUGAAGAUUUCCUGCUUACAUAUCGUACGUUUCUGCCGUCGCCGACUGAACUUACAAAUAAACUUCUACAAUGGUUUGAAGAUCCUGCUCUCAGAGCAAAGGUUACACGUGUGGUGCUAUUAUGGGUAAACAACCAUUUCAAUGACUUUGAGAUGAAUGCUGACAUGUGUGAAUUCCUCGAACAUUUUGAAGAUUUACUUGAGAGAGAGAAAAAUAUGGAUAAAUAUACAAAAGCGAGGAUGACUGGUCAACUACGUUUGUUGAAUCUUGCAUGUGCCAGUAAAGCACGACCACGAACUGUGACCUUGACACGGGCAACCAGAGAUGAAAUCCUCUAUUUCCAGAUCUUAGGGGGCCUCGAGAGGGGUUGUGGUAUCUUUAUCAAGAAAGUUGAAAAAGAUUCUAAAGCUUAUGAGGCUGGGCUGAAGAGAGGAGAUCAGAUUUUGGAGGUAAAUGGUCAGAGCAUGAUGAAUAUUUCACAUAGCAAGGCCCUCGAACUGCUACGCAAAACAACACAUCUUUCAAUUACUGUGAAAUCUAACUUGCUAGAAUUCAAAGAAAUGUUAGACAACACAGAAAAGAACGCUACAUUAAAGCGGAUGGAUUUUCAGCAGACAAAUUACAAGCAGAGGUUAUCUGCCCCUGAUUUGGAAAAUUCAUUUCCACCAGCAUCAGGGAAUUUGUCAUUAGAGAAUUCAUUACUACCGUCACCUCAGGAUUUUAAUAAAAAGAACAAUUCACAUAAAAAGGACAGAAGCUUUAUGAUGACAAUAGCUAGCAGUAAACCGAAGCUCAGGAAAGCUCUACGCAAUCUCAUACCACGAAACAUGAGCGCCAGCAGUAUGAACAGUGAUAUCUCAUUAAAUCACUCAGACGAAAAUCUCUCAUCUCAUGGUUUAUCACGGAAAUCAUCAACAUCAUCAGGGUCAUCAACAAAUACCGGAAUGUCCAAUCACCUCAGUGCCAGUAAUCCCGACCUCUCGUCGGCAAAUCUCGGAGCAGACGAGAAACCGGUGGAGUAUCCGGACCAUGUUGUUAAAGUGUACAGAUCUGACCAGUCUUUCAAAUAUUUACUCAUACAUAAGGAAACUACAGCAAAAGAAGUUGUCAUGUUGUCAUUGCGUGAGUUUGGUAUUACUGACCCAAGCAGCAAUUUCUCUUUAUGUGAAGUUACGGUAGAAUCUGAAGGUUUUAUUAAGCAAAAACGACUCCCGGACACGUUACAAAACUUGCCAGAAAGGUUGACGUUAAAUGGAAGGGAUGCUUGUUCUAGCGUUAGCGCCAGGCGAGCUCUCCCAUGUGUACUCAGGUAUUACUUAAAGAACAACAUGAGCACGGAGCCCCUCGUGCCAGAUGAGCUGAUGGGUGACCUAAUUAAGGAAGCACAGAUCAGUCUGACGCAACUGAACACUUUGGAAGUGGCGUCGCAGCUUACACUCGAAGAUUUCAGCUUUUUCAAGCAGGUCCAGGAUACAGAAUAUGUUGACAGAAUAUUUGGAUUGAACUCCAAAUGUGGAUGUCCUAACCUAUUGAAAUUUGAGGAGCUUGUUAACAAAGAGAUGUUUUGGGUGGUCACCGAGAUUUGUUCAGAAAAUAAUCUAGUCAAACGUAUGAAAAUCAUGAAACAUUUCAUCAAGAUAGCAAGGCAUUGUAAAGAUUGCAAGAACUUCAACUCCAUGUUUGCUAUUGUAAGUGGUCUCCAUUAUACAUCAGUGUCCAGGCUACAUAGUACAUGGGAAAAAUUGCCAAGCAAAUAUAAAAAGAUGUAUGAGAGUAUGUUGGAUCUGAUGGACCCAUCUCGAAACAUGUCUAAAUAUAGAAACCUGAUGUCCAGUCAGUUUGUGCAGCCUCCAAUGAUACCAUUUUUCCCAGUUGUAAAUAAAGAUUUGACCUUUAUUCACCUUGGGAAUGAUUCCAAGGUUGAUGGGCUCGUCAACUUUGAGAAACUGCGCAUGGUAGCGAAAGAAAUCCGUCAUAUUUGUAACAUGUGCUCACCAAAAUAUGAUGUAAACACCAUGUACCUUAAUACUCCAAGUAUGUACGACAGUUCACUCAUUUUUGGUGUGGCAACGAUCAAGAGAACAAAAAAUCGACGGGCGUCGGCGGUUCCAAAUGCACGAAAGAUGUAUGACGAGGCUCAAAUGACGCGGCGUGUGAAGUCUUACCUCAGUAACUUACCGUGUAUAAGAGAUGAAGUCAAAUUAGCAGAACUUUCUAAUCAGUGUGAACCACAAGCAAAGAAGCCUGAUUCAUCACCAAACCUAAGUGCUAGUUCAUCAAGUGUCUCCAGUGAAGAAAAGAAGCCUAUAUACACAGGGCCUAAAUUUGGUGCCGAAACGGUGGAAAACACUCGCAAACUCAUGGCUCUCAGUGGGAAGGUCAAACCCCACGACUCUAAAAACCCUCUACCAUCUCUCAUAACUAGUCCAAACCUUUCAUCAGGUGGUCGCCGUCAGCCGAUUUCGCCUCGACAUGUGCGUCCGACUGUUCAUUUGUCGGCAGAGAGCUCAUCUGUGAUCAGUCUUAGUAAUAUAGCUAAUAGGAAACCUAGUCGCACUGGAUCUGUAGGGUCCACAGAAUCUCAGAGUCCCACUGCAAGCAUCAAGAGUACCCAUAGCAACAACAGUGCCCACAGCUUGCCAUCGCACUACGAAUCUGACUCCAGUAGUCUCGCUAGUACAUCUACGUAUGACAACCACAGCUCGUGUUCAGCUCCAGUAUCUAACUCCCCAGGACCACCACGGAAGCUGUCCUCGUCAGUUGCAAGCCAUCAUCAGUCAUCAUCUCAUCCUCUUCAUCAUCCACAUGUACAGCAUCCACAUCCACACCAUCCACCACAGUCAGGUAACAUCCACUUGUAACAUAGGGGAGGUUAAAGCAAUGAGUAUGUGAAUACAAGAAUACAGUCAAGGUGUACAUGAUGAUGAAGAAGAAAUAGUUUCAGCAGUAUGAUAUGUUGCCAUGGUAACAGAUAGGACAGUUUCGUCAUGGCAACCAGAAUAGCAGUAUCUGAAUGCAUACCAGAUCAGUUGACCUUUGGCAUUAUAUUGUAGCUUUGUUGCCAUGCCUACACAAUCUUCAAGGUCAUUUGAAAAUAAUCUGGUAGCCAGGCCUGCAGUGUUGGUCUAACUUAUUAGUUGCCAUGGUGACAUGUUGACCUUGAGAUGAUGAAUGUUAAUGCUGGUGUAUGAGCUAUGAGGAUGCACACACCUCAAAUAUAUCUGUGAUAGCUGUUUAACAGCAUGUACAUAGUGACAAUUGAAGCUCCGGAGUUGUCGGCAAGUGGUGCACAAGGGGUAUAUGUGAAGCAGCUUUGAUGUAAUGUUUCUGAAAUGACGAGAGGUAAUUUUGAAGUAAUCUCACACACAGAGUAUUUAAAUGAUGGUGGGUCACUGAUACGAAUUUCUGAAAUGAAGUAUGAUGGUAUAGAAGCUUAAGCGAGGAAACGAUAAUAUUUAGGUUUUAUGUGAAGGUGAUAAUGUAAGUGAUAAUAUAAGCGAAAAAUAUGGCCGUUUAAGAUUGAAAGUGAAAGAUACGGCUUUUUGAGGGGGAAAAUGUGGCAAAAGGUUGAGUUGUGAUAGUUAAGAGAACAGAGAGAAAAUUAUGGAGAGAAAGUAUUCAUGUUACAGUUAUUAUGUAGAAGUGUUUUGAUGUUGUUUGGUGACAGGUGUCGUAAAAACUUUAUGUGCAGAAAGAGACUUGUUGAAAAGUCGGCCAGUUCUAAGUCUGGACUGUUGAUGUAAAUCUUGCCUAAAUUAACUAGCAUUUCAAGGAAACCAGUGCUUUUUUGUGGAACAUGUGACAAUCAGUCAUAAAUAUUUUAAUUUAAUUGUGAACAUUUAAUAUACACAGACUUGUGCCAGAUAAAGAGUGCAGUCUUGUGUUUUUAUGUUAUAGUACAUGGAAGGUAAUACUUUUUGAAGACCAUAUAGUAAAUAUAUGGAGGAAAGCAAGUUUUGCCGAGAAAACUAUAGUCAGAAACAUGGGAAUUAUUAACUGUAUUUAAAUGUUAUUUUUUCAGUUCAUUCAAGUUUGAAGCAUUCAGAUUUUUGCAGUUUUCAAUAAUCCGUAAAAAAGGUAGUCAAGGUUAUUUUAGUUAGAAUGACUAAUGUAAUAAACUAUAUAUACUAGGAUGAAGACAUACUUUUUUUGUAGAUUUUUUUGUACUUAAAUCUUACUAACUUAAAUCAUCCAGGGCAGUAAUACUAACAGUAAAAAUUUUUUUGUUUGUUUUGUUUUUAAAGUAAACUGUGUGUUUUAUAUACAUACAUUUAAUUUUAUAUUAAUAUGUAAAAUAAAAACACAUUUUAAGUUAGAAGUCUUAAAAGGACAUUUUUGAUGUAAUUAGUCUGUUUUUUAGUAUUUUAGAAUAUUUUGACAAAUUAGUUUAAAUAAGACAAAGUGUGCAAUAUCGAAUUUUCUGUUUGUAAAUAUGCUUCAGAGUGUACUGAUCAGGUUAGGAAAUUUGGCAGUCUUCUACCAUGGUAUUGCUAAUUUGAAAAAUUGCCAUCUUCCCAGUUUUCCCUUUUUUUUUCUCCUCUAAGGAUUUAUUUUGGAAAUGAUUGUAGGAAGGGAGACAAUUCAUUUUAAAACUAGUAUUCUGUAUACAUUUGAAAGAAUUGAGCAAAACAAAUAACAUGCAUUAUGAAAGACCUUCUUUACUUCCUAUGAACAUAUAUAAAAACAACUUAAGAUAUCAAGCUAUGGAAAAUUGUCUUUUUUCUAGGAUUGAUCAGUACAUGUUUGAUAUAGAAUUACUAAUUAUUGAUAUACCCAAUCUUUCUUUAAACCAUACUGUAUAAUAGUACUUAUUUAUUUUCCUAGGAUGCAUCAGAUCUAUACAAACAUGUUGUUCUCAGCGGAGUAACAUAUUUGACGGUGUUCAGCUCUAGUAUUGAAGUUAUCAACUUUGUGUUUCAAUGCACUUUCAACUUGGGACACAUUUUUAGAAGGACAUGCCUCCUGACUAAUUUUCAAAAUUGAAACUUUUGUUGGUGACUGUUUAAUAUACACAAAAAAUAAAAACAAACCGUUUCUGUGAGUUUCACGAAAUAUUUUUGAACUGGAAUAUUGAUUUCUAAAUUUUGGUAUCUUCGACACUUGUUUUGAGAAUUUUUAUGCAAUGAUGCCAUCUGAAGGUUGACCAUUUAUUAACAUUCUGACUGUAAUAGAAUUAAAUCAGUUAUUAACAGAGUAAGUAAAUACAGAACUUAUAUGAGCCGCGCCAUGAGAAAACCAACAUAGUGGCUUUGCGACCAGCAUGGAUCCAGACGCGCAGUCUGGUCAGGAUCCAUGCUGUUCGCUAUUAGUUUCUCUAAUUCCAUUAGGCUUUGAAAGCGAACAGCAUGGAUCCUGACCAGACUGCGCGGAUGCGCAGGCUGGUCUGGAUCCAUGCUGGUCGCAAACCCACUAUGUUGGUUUUCUCAUGGCACGACUCAAUUUUGCUGUUGCAACUGUUAUUAUGUAGAACUACUGGUAUAUUUUGGUACUUAGGGUAAAUACUUGUCAGAUUAUAUAAAUUAGGUCAUUGCAACCAAUGAGCAGAAAUACAGGAGGUGACUUGUGAACAGAAAUAUUUGUGUCUGUAUUACUUACAAAAGAUACUUGAGAAGUUUGAUUUUUCUUUGCAGUUGUCAGUAAAUAUAACAGAAGUUUGUUUAUUGAUUUAAAAAGAGAAGUUGAGAUUUCAUGCUUUAACAGCUCUAUGUAUAUAAAAGAAACCAGUGUUGAAAUGAGCAGUUAUGGUGUCAAAAUUAUUUUAACCAUACUUAGACGCCCACAUUCAUUAACCUUUAGCCUGCCGGCAGCAGGUGUUCUGCCUUUGUGCCCAGUGCAGUCCAAGAUCAGCCUGCACAUUUGUGCAGUCUGAUCAUGGUCUGCACUGUUCUCUAAUCAGUCAGUAAAUUUCCAAUAAACACCCCUUUAAAUGAUAAAUGGUACUGCCCAAAUUGAAUGAUGGACCAGUCCAUUAUAGAAAUUUAGCAGGCUUAAGGUUAAAAAACUUAUAAAACCUAAUUUUGCUUUUCGAAAACAUGUAACUGAAUGCAGCUAGUCACUCUCCGAAUCUCUUGAACAUUGUUUAGAGGAUGGAUCUAUAUAAUAUAGAGCUCUAAAUUCAGCUACCCUUAUUGGGCCCCAGUCAAACGGCAACACGUCAGUACAUGAGAUCAGCUGUCUACAAAGUAGAAGCUAUGAUAACGUAGAGAACUGUUAUUAGAUACAGAGAAUUCCUUCAUACGUUUGUAUUCAAAUCUCAACUACCCUACUUUUGUAGCCCUUACUUAGAGCAAAUAAAGAAAAAUUCUGCAAUCAUAGGUGCCUUUUAGAACAUUUCAAUAACAAGUUUUGAUGCCUUCUGCAAUUAAUUAACAGGUCCUAUAAAAGCUUAUUUAAAUCCAAGACGAUAGUUUUUCAACAAACUUGAAAUGAUACCCCGAAAGUUUGGCUUUUGUUGUCUUUGGAUUUUAUAUUGGUAAGAACAAUAUUAUACAACUUGUAAGUUUCUAAAUUGCUUUUGCUUUCUCAAGAAAAUAAGCAUAUUAAAUGUAAGGCUUAUAGUGGCCCUAAUGUUUGGAUAUUGCAACUUAUUUACCAUUCUAGUAUAUGUUUUGUAAGUGUAAUCAAUAAAAGACAAUUGACUCUCACAAUAUACCCUAACCCCUAAUAUUUUACAGGGCAUUCGUUCUUUUUCAAAAAAAGUAUUAAAGACAAUUCACCUCAUUGAUUACAGACACAAAAAUAACAAUGUGUUUGGCCUGAAAUAUGAAAGCUGAUGUGUUCAUUGUUACAUAUAUUAUGUUUAAUGCAGGCCAUUAGUGUUAUGUAAAGCAUUUUAUCAUCUGUAUAUAACCCAACUUUAUGAGAGAUUAUCAUUGAAAUUCAUUAUAUUGAACCUGAAUAAAAUAUGAAAGUAAACAUGA